CCCCAAGUGAAUUGGACGGAGGAUUUUCAGCACAGUCAUCACAUCUCAAUUACAAAAACAAACAUUUAAGGCUCAUUGAAGGGGUGGUGCUCAUUUGUUUACAUGGAGAGACGGGCCAUGUCCUUCGUGGAUGAGCGACCAGCCCAGGGUCUACCCUGACCCACAAUCCUGAGUGCUAUCGAAAAUAGAUGGAGGGAUGUUUCUGGCUUGCUUGCCUUACCCGAGGGGUUACGUUCCAGAACCUCAGGGCCAAAGACGUAUUUAUGCGUCCAGAAGUGCGUGUGUGUUUCUCAUAAAUGUGACAAAGUACAACAUGACGAGGUUGACGUUCAUCAUGUAAGAGGCCGCUGAAGAACACGAGCCCAUGACUAACGUGCCAUUCUGGUGAGUUUCGUCACUCACGGUGCGUGUAGAUUGCUAAAUACAUUAUUGUUUUGCUAUCAAAAGCCAUUCCUAAAUGUUAUUUUAGCUGGUUUAUUGAAUAAAACCAAUGUUCAUAUGUUAGAGGUGUCACAAAAGCAACAAAUAUUAGCAUCAAAGUUGCUGUUCUGCUUCAAAACUCUCCAGUUUAAGUGAAAUGUCUGAAUUUCGUAAAAUGUUCGUUCCUAUGUUCUACUGCUGAUUACUUAAGAACAGAAAAAGGUAGAAUCAAACUUUUUUUUCCUGGUGAAAGAAAGGAGUCGAUUCUUUGAUUUGGUAGAUUCAGUGUGUAUGUAAUGGUAGAACCCAAUAUUCUGUGGGUCUUGAAAAAUCAGUCAAAAUGCUCUAAAAUAGGACUCCAGGAGUUGUCUUUUUUGAAAAUGGCUGGCAUUAAAUGAGUUCGGUGAAAAUCUGCUAAACAGAAAUACCCUUUAAAAUACAUUCUAAACAUGUUUUUAUAACAGUUACAGUACUUAUUAUUUUUUUAAAGGUCUUUAAACACACUUGUAAAACACUGGAAACACAUUUAAACAAUCUAUUGAAAAAGCGCAAUGGGAAUAGAAUAAUAGAAUAGAAAUAUUGUACAAAGAGUAUUAAAAAAGAGACUAACAACUGUAACAAAAAAAAAGAGAAAUACCACAAACUGAACUGCAAUAUAGCAGGUGUUUACUGUAUAUAAUGAAGUAUUUUAUUAUUGUAUAAAUGUUAUUUAUAUGACAAUCUUUCAUUUGGAUAAUUUACUGCUAGCAUUUUCUGUUUCAUUUUAAAAUGUCAUUCAACCUGUUCCUGUUUACACAAAAGAUAAAUACUUUUUAUGAUUUGCGUUUUGUUCUCUUACCGUAAUCAAACCGUGACCUUAAAACUGAAGUACAUACAGAGCCGUGAUUUUUGCUGUCAAGUUGUCAAACACAUCAAAUACCCAGUUGGAAGAGAUGCAG